UUUAGAAAAAUUUAUUUUUUAGGAUGGUUAAUUUUUAUUUAAUUAAAAUAUUUAAUUUUUAUUAUUUUUGAGAAAAAAGUUAAAUUAUGAUAAAGAAUUAGUAAAGUGAUUGAAAAUUUAGUUAAUUGGGAAAGAAAGUUUUUAUGUACCUUGUGUAUCAGGGUUUAUUAAAAAUAUUUUAAUUAUUUAAUUUUCUCGAAUUUAAAAGAGUUAAACUUAUAUAAAUUUUAUUGUAUCAUAAAUAUUUAAAAUAUGGGUUUAGAAAUGAAAUGUUAUUCGUUUUUAAAUAUAUCUAGUUUUUAAAGAAAUAAAUUUAAUUUAUUUUUUAAAUUUUAAUAUUUUAUAUUAGGAAAAAAUUAAAUUUAAAAUUAAAAAAUUUUUGGGAUAAGCUAGAGAUUUAAAUUUUAUAAUUUAUAUGAAAAUUUAAUUUUUAUAGGAUUAAAAAUUUUUUUUAUUUAAAGUUUGUUAAAAUUUAAAUUAAUAAAAUAAAAAUUUUUAUUUAAGGUUUAAUUAUUUUAUUUAAAUUAAUAAUUUUAUUUUUAUUUUAUUGUAAUAAUGAUAAAAUUAGUAUUUAAAAUUGUUAAAAUUAGAAAAUAACAAAUUUGAUUAAAGGAAUUCGGCAAAUAUAUUUUUCACCUGUUUAAUAAAAACAUCUCUUUUUGUAAAAAAUUUAAAGUAGGGCCUGCCCACUGAUAAUUUAAAGGGCUGCAGUAUCUUGACUGUACAAAGGUAGCAUAAUCAAUAGUUUUUUAAUUGAAAGCUUGUAUGAAUGGUUUAAUGAAAAAAUAUCUGUCUCUAUUUGAUUUAAAAAAUUUUAUUUUUAAGUUCAAAAGCUUAAAUAUUUUAAAAAGACGAGAAGACCCUAUAGAGUUUUAUUUAAUUUAAGUUGAUAAAUUUAAGAAUUUGAAAUUUUUUAAUUAAAAUUAAAUUUGAUUGGGGUGAUUUUAAAAUUUAAGAAACUUUUAAUUUAUUAAAUCAAAAAUUUUUGUUUUGUUGAUCCAUAAAAAUGAUUAAAAGAUUAAGUUACCUUAGGGAUAACAGCGUUAUUUUUUUGAGAAGUUCAUAUUUUAAAAAAAGAUUGCGACCUCGAUGUUGGAUUAAAAUAAAUUUUUGGUGGAGAAGCUAAAAAAUUAGGUCUGUUCGACCUUUAAAAUUUUACAUGAUCUGAGUUUAGACCGGUGUAAGCCAGGUUGGUUUCUAUCUUUUAAAAUUUAAAAUUUUUUAGUACGAAAGGACCAAAAAUUUAUUUAAUAAUUUAUUUUUUGAAUAAAUUU
rnacentral:rRNA from 1 species